UUCUCUUUCUCCAGAUUUUAUCUCAGGAGCCUUGAAGGGUUUUGGGUGGAGAACACGAGAAUGGAAACGAAACUCACAAGAACCGUAAUUUGCAAUGUUUCUUUUCUCCUCGCGAAACCCAAAGCUGCCUCCUGUUCUUCCGAAAAGAUCCUGUGUGUAUGAUGGUAACUUGGAUUCAUGAGUAACUGAGAUUCCUGUUUCUGGACUUAUUCAUAGUGUUAGGUGGUGGACCCAAACUAAGGUUAUGUUGCCCAGUGUGUUGUCCUUGUGUUUGCCAAUGAUAUUGCAGAGGAGUUGGUUGCAAGUGUUCUCAAUGAGCAACCUGAUCAAUAAACAAGGACUGAAAAUAAUGAGAGAAACCACGAAUGUAUGCAGAUAGAUAACCUUAUGGAUUCACACAUUGACAGAGAGGUACCAAAUUUUUUUUUUUUUUUCAAAAGGAGAAAAACAAAUAAAGAACCUGCAGAUACCCAAGUGUCAACAAGAAUUUCACCACCUGCUGCAUCAAAAGGAAAUUUGCAAUUGUCCAGCCAUAUCUGCUGUGAUCUGCGACUCCAACAAUAAAAGCCUUUUUGCCUAAACAUGAUAUUGAUUUCAGUGGAGCACCAAUUUCCUCAUAAUCUAUGACUACAUCUAUGCCCAGAAUAUCAAAAUAUCUUGACAGUUAACAUGAAAGAAAGAAAACACUUAGUUUUAAAAAAAGUUAUAGAGAUAAACUUAGAUAUGGAAUUUUGCCUGCCUAAUUUCUUUCUUUUUAAUAUAGGAAUUUUAUUUCUUACAAAUAAUCAAAAAAAGGUGAUUUUGGAGUUUGACUACCUAGCUGUAGUAGCUAUUAGAAGAACUGGUUAAAAGCAGAGAGAGAGAGAGAGAGAGAUAUGUCUUUAACCAAUUUGCUUAUAUUUAUAAAGAAGCAGCAGCAUAAUAGAAGUAAGAGUGUAAAUGUAAGAUAGAAUUUUCACUUAUACUUGUGUCAGGGGUAUGUUAGAAUUUUUGUUCUGCUUUCGUUAGUUUUUAUGAUGUAUGGGUGGCAUAAUAGAAGUAAGAGUGUAAAUGUAAGAUAGAAUUUUCACUUAUACUUGUGUCAGGGGUAUGUUAGAAUUUUUGUUCUGCUUUCGUUAGUUUUUAUGAUGUAUGGGUGGCAUAAUAGAAGUAAGAGUGUAAAUGUAAGAUAGAAUUUUCACUUAUACUUGUGUCAGGGGUAUGUUAGAAUUUUUGUUCUGCUUUCGUUAGUUUUUAUGAUGUAUGGGUGGCAUAAUAGAAGUAAGAGUGUAAAUGUAAGAUAGAAUUUUCACUUAUACUUGUGUUUGGGGUAUGAUAGAAUUUUUGUACUACUCUAGUUAGUUUUUGUGAUGUAUGGGUGGGAAUAGUUGAUACAUAUUUUCAUUGUAUUUAAUUGUAAUAAGAACUCAUUUAUAUUUCAGAAGAUUAUAGGUCUUUAUAUUUUAUGGUGAUAAUAUAUUCUAAUAAACACGAAAAAUUUACUCUCAUUUUUAUAACAACAAAUAAAUUAAUAUUUAGUAAAUGGUUGUGUCUAGUGUAAUAGGGUGUUACAAUAUUCCUUUGCACAGUAUGUUUGUCAACAAAGUGUUGACAUUGCCACUAGUCAUUCCUAACUAGAGUUGUCAUAAAACACAUAAUUUGUGUUAUUACUAUGGUAUUUUUUAUUGUAAUUGCAAAAGCAAUGCGGAGCCAAUACAUUUUUGCAUUUGGAGACAUAUGUACGUUUAGGAAGCAUAUUUUGAAUAUUGUCAUAGCUGGUGUUCAAAAGUAGAAUAUGUUGCAGCAGAAUAUUCGGAUAAACAAGAAAAUGUUGAAGUCUAUGCAUCUUGAUCACUGGUUCUACCUGUUGGUACCAUAAGAGGAAGUUCUUAUCAUCGAAUUUCUCAAAGAUUGUAUGAUAAACCGUAAGUGGAGCUGUGGAAGGGGGUGGAGGAGGUUGAUCAGCCAUGCUUGGAUCGUUCAAGCUCUUUAUAUUAUGUUAGAGUAGAGAAAAAAAAAAAAGGAUUGCAAACCGAAUGUGAGAAAAUGAU